UACGUAGGUGGCGAGCGUUGUCCGGAUUUACUGGGCGUAAAGAGCGCGCAGGCGGUCGUACAAGUCGCGUGUGAAAGCCCCCGGCUCAACUGGGGAGGGUCACGCGAUACUGUUCGACUCGAAGGCAGGAGAGGGAAGUGGAAUUCCCGGUGUAGUGGUGAAAUGCGUAGAUAUCGGGAGGAACACCAGUGGCGAAGGCGACUUCCUGGCCUGUUCUUGACGCUGAGGCGCGGAAAGCUAGGGUAGCAAACGGGGAUUAAG
rnacentral:rRNA from 1 species